CCUACGGGGGGCAGCAGUAGGGAAUAUUGCUCAAUGGGGGAAACCCUGAAGCAGCAACGCCGCGUGGAGGAUGAAGGUUUUCGGAUUGUAAACUCCUUUUGUUAGAGAAGAUAAUGACGGUAUCUAACGAAUAAGCACCGGCUAACUCCGUGCCAGCAGCCGCGGUAAUACGGAGGGUGCAAGCGUUAUUCGGAAUCACUGGGCGUAAAGAGCGCGUAGGCGGGAUAGCAAGUCAGAUGUGAAAUCCUAGGGCUUAACCAUAGAACUGCAUUUGAAACUGUUAUUCUAGAGUAUGGGAGAGGUAGGUGGAAUUCUUGGUGUAGGGGUAAAAUCCGUAGAGAUCAAGAGGAAUACUCAUUGCGAAGGCGACCUGCUAGAACAUAACUGACGCUGAUGCACGAAAGCGUGGGGAGCAAACAGGAUUAGAUACCCCUGUAGUC
rnacentral:rRNA from 1 species